AAUGAACGCUGGCGGCGUGCUUAACACAUGCAAGUCGAGCGAUUUACUUCGGUAAAGAGCGGCGGACGGGUGAGUAACGCGUGGGUAACCUGCCCUGUACACACGGAUAACAUACCGAAAGGUAUGCUAAUACGAGAUAAUAUACUUUUAUCGCAUGGUAGAAGUAUCAAAGCUCCGGCGGUACAGGAUGGACCCGCGUCUGAUUAGCUAGUUGGUAAGGUAACGGCUUACCAAGGCGACGAUCAGUAGCCGACCUGAGAGGGUGAUCGGCCACAUUGGAACUGAGACACGGUCCAAACUCCUACGGGAGGCAGCAGUGGGGAAUAUUGCACAAUGGGCGAAAGCCUGAUGCAGCAACGCCGCGUGAGCGAUGAAGGCCUUCGGGUCGUAAAGCUCUGUCCUCAAGGGAGAUAAUGACGGUACUUGAGGGGGAAGCCCCGGCUAACUACGUGCCAGCAGCCGCCGUAACAC
rnacentral:rRNA from 1 species